rnacentral:rRNA from 1 species
GAUGAACGCUGGCGGCGUGCCUAAUACAUGCAAGUCGAGCGAACAGAUGAGGCGCUUGCUCCUCUGACGUUAGCGGCGGGCGGGUGAGUAACACGUGGAUCCCCUCCCUAUCUGUCGGGGAUAUCUUCGGGAAACGGGCGCAAAUCCCGGAUAAUAUCCUGAACCGCAUGGUUCAAUAGUGAGAGUCGGUUUUGCUGUCUCUACUCGCUGGAUCUGCGCCGGAUUAGCUAGUUGUUAAGGUAACGGCUUAUCAAGGCGACGAUGCGUAGCCGACCGGAGAGAGGGAUCGGCCACACGGGAACUGGAACACGGUCCAGGCGCCUACGGGAGGGAGCAGUAGGGAAUCGUCCGCAGUAGGCGGAAACCUGGCAGAGCGGCGCCACGUGAGUGAUGAAGGUCUUGGGAUCGUAAAACUCUGUUAUGAGUGAAGAACAGAUGUGGAAGGAACUAUGCACGUCUUGACGGUACUGGGUCAAAAAGCCACGGCUAACUACGUG